UCACAUAGCUAGUUAGCUGCAAGACCACA
rnacentral:piRNA from 1 species